rnacentral:rRNA from 1 species
AUGGGCCGGUACUACCGGGAGGUUGAGGCGAAGCGCACUCGCCCCUUCUCGGUGCGCCCUCCCACGCCGUUCCCUCGGGGGGCGCCGUCUUCGUGCGGGUCCUCCUCCUCCGCCAGCCCGCCGACUGCCGCGGCGGCUUCGGAGCAGCAGCCACCCCUCCCCCCUUCGCCUCCUGCUCGGGAUGCGGCUGGCCACCAUCGCCCGGAGUACGUGGAGGUCUUCAUGCCCCUGGUGGUGGACAUGGCGCACUCGCGCCGUUUUGCCUAUGCUCUCAUCGACCCGGCGUCCCCCAGCCCCGGCGACCUCCUCCGCCGGGCUCUCGAGCUGCACGCCGGUGACCCCUCCGUGCGCCUCGCCGCCUCCCACUACGGCGCCAUGAUGGUCGUCUUCUCCUCGGAGGGGGCGCGGGAGCACGCCAUGCGGCACUUCCCCCUCCCGUUCGAGGGGCACGUCAUCACCCUGGAGCGCCCGGAGACCGGAGAGAACCGGUUCGGCUGGGAGUACACCUGCUUUGCACAGCUCUCCGCCACCGGCUUCCCCCUCAAGCACUGGCAUGAAGGGGGCAUCCGUGACGCCUUCCGCUCCAUCGGCAACGUCUGCUGCAUCGACCCUCUCUGCCUCAACGAUCUCGACUUCUCCGCCGUCCGGCUUGUCAUCCGUCUCGAGCACGAGGACGACGUCCCCCACGCCCUCCUCGUCCGCAACUUCGAUGGUGACCUCUCGACGGAGGUCCGCAUCCGCCGCGUCCGCUUCUGGUCCAUCACCGAAGAUGGCUCCUCCGUCUCCUCCUUCCACUUCGAGGGGGAGGGGAGCUCCCCUCGCUCGCCGCCCCGUGGGCCUCGAUCCUCCGGGAUGGACGACAUCGACACGCUCAGUCUGUGCGGCUUCGACUCCCUCUCCAUCGAGCCCCGCCCAGCUACGCCUGCCCCCCUCGACGACUUCCCCGGCGCGCCGCAGAGCGCGGCCAUGGCUGCUUUUCACCGCACUCUGGGUCGCCGCAUGGCGGGGUUGCUCUCCGAGCCCUUCCCGCCACGCUGGUGCGCCCUCUUCCCUCCCGCGACACCUCUGCUCCAGGAGGAUGGCAGCGACUCCACCACCACUGUCCCCUCCUCCGAUGGCGGCCAGGCCAUGCUGCUUCCCCCCCCGGUUAUGCUCCCGUCCGAGCUGGCGGACGAGGACCAUGAGCAUGCCGCCAUGAAGCGGCGUGGCCGCCGCAAGCGCGCGGUGGACGUCGACCACACCGGACGCCGUAGCUCCCGCCUUGCCGGGAAGGAGCCGUCGGGGUACGUCAAGAUGCUUGACCGGGCCAAGGCGGCGAAGGCGGCGCGCUUCGACUCCUCCAAGGGCUCCCCCCGCCUCCGUGCUUCCGUGAGAGCUGCCGGCAUUGGUGUCGACGACGGCGCGCCGGCCCCUCUCUCUCUCCGCCAGCUCCGGGCUCUUCGGGAGCCGUGUGGCGUCGACCUGGACGCGCUGGCUGCUGGGGCUCACGCUGAGAUGGCUUAUGGUGCCCCAUGA